GAUUUCCAGGUGUUUACAUUCACUGAGCAGGCAGAACACAGAGAACUCACCAUGGAGUUUGUGCUGGGCUGGGUUUUCCUUGUUGCUCUUUUACAAGGUGUCCAGUGUGAGGUGCAGCUGGUGGAGUCUGGGGGAGACCUGGUGAUGCCAGGGGGGUCCCUGAGACUCUCCUGUGCAGCCUCUGGAUUCACCUUCAGCAGCUACGGCAUGAGCUGGGUCCGCCAGGCUGCAGGGAUGGGCCUGCAGUGGGUCGCAGUUAUUAGCAGUGAUGGAAGUAGCACAAGAUACGCAGACUCUGUGAAGGGCCGAUUCACCAUCUCCAGAGACAACAGCAAGAACACGCUGUAUCUGCAGAUGAACAGCCUGAGAGCCGUGGACACGGCCAUGUAUUACUGUGUGAGAGACACAUGUGGCCAUGACUACUUGGACGUCUGGGGCCAGGGCACCCUGGUGACCGUCUCCUCAGAGAACCCAUCCCCUCCAAACCUCUUCCCCCUCAUCACCUGUGAGAGUUUCCAGUCCGAUGAGACCCUGGUGGCCAUGGGCUGUCUGGCCGGGGACUUCCUGCCCGACACCGUCACCUUCUCCUGGACCUACAAGAAUGACAGUGAGGUCAGCAGGCAGAACGUCAAGUACUUCCCGUCGGUUCUGAGAGAGGGCAAGUACGUGGCCACCUCCCAGGUGUUCCUGCCGUCCGUCGACGUCCUCCAGGGCUCCGAGGACUACCUCACCUGCAAGGUCAAGCACACGAAGGGUAACAAGUCCGUGCACGUGCCCCUCCCAGCAGCAGCCGUAGAACUGCCCCCCAACGUGACCGUCUUCAUCCCGCCCCGCGACGCCUUCUCUGGCAACGGCCAGCGCACGUCCCAGCUCCUGUGCCAGGCCAGGGGCUUCAGCCCCAAGCAGAUCUCCGUGUCCUGGUUUCGUGACGGAAAGCCGCUCGCGUCCGGCAUCGACACUGGCAAGGUGGAGGCCGACGGGAAAGUGUCCGGGACAGUGACCUACAGAGUGCUCAGCACGCUGACCAUCACCGAGAGCGCCUGGCUCAGCCAGAGCGUGUUCACCUGCCAAGUGGAGCACAGCGGCGUGACCUCCGAGAGGAACGUGUCCUCCGUGUGCACCUCCAACCCAGCCGUGGGCAUCAGAGUCUUCACCAUCCCCCCGUCCUUUGCCAGCAUCUUCCUCACCAAGUCGGCCAAGCUGUCCUGCCUGGUCACAGACCUGGGCACCUACGACAGCCUGACCAUCACCUGGACACGCCAGAACGGCGAGCCUCUGAAAACGCACACCAACAUCUCCGAGAGCCACCCCAACAUCACCUUCAGCGCCAUGGGGGAGGCCACGGCCUGUGUGGAGGACUGGGAGUCAGGGGAGCAGUUCACCUGCACGGUGACCCACACGGACCUGCCCUCGCCACUGAAGAAGACCAUCUCCAGGCCCAAGGGGGUCCCCAAGCACAUGCCGUCUGUGUACGUCCUGCCGCCAAGCCGGGAGCAGCUGAGCCUGCGGGAGUCAGCCUCGGUCACCUGCCUGGUGACGGGCUUCUCUCCCCCAGACGUGUUUGUUCAAUGGCUGCAGAAGGGGCAGCCCGUGCCCCCCAACACCUACGUGACCAGUGCUCCGAUGCCCGAGCCGCAAGCCCCCGGCCUCUACUUUGUGCACAGCACCCUGACCGUGAGCGAGGAGGACUGGAGCGCCGGCGAGACCUACACCUGUGUAGUCGGCCACGAGGUCCUGCCCCACAUGGUGACCGAGCGGAGCGUGGACAAGUCCACCGAGGGAGAGGUGAGCGCUGAGGAGGAAGACUUCGAGAACCUGAACACCGUGACGUCCACCUUCAUCGUCCUCUUCCUCCUCAGCGUCUUCUACAGCACCACAGUGACGCUGUUCAAGGUGAAAUGACCGGCCCGCGGAGACCUUCAGAGGCCCGGGACGUGGACCCGGGGUGGGCAGCCCGCGGAGCCCGGCAGCGCGUCCUCAGACCUACCCGCCACCCCGCUUCCAGCUCAAAGACUCGGCCUGUGCAGUGUACCCGCGUGUCGCCUUCCAAUAAACGUGUAUAUUUUAUCCUA